UUCGACACACUAUCAUUAACUGAAUCCAUAGGUUAAUGAGGCGAACCGGGGGAACUGAAACAUCUAAGUACCCCGAGGAAAAGAAAUCAACCGAGAUUCCCCCAGUAGCGGCGAGCGAACGGGGAGCAGCCCAGAGCCUGAAUCAGUGUGUGUGUUAGUGGAAGCGUCUGGAAAGGCGCGCGAUACAGGGUGACAGCCCCGUACACAAAAAUGCACAUGCUGUGAGCUCGAUGAGUAGGGCGGGACACGUGGUAUCCUGUCUGAAUAUGGGGGGACCAUCCUCCAAGGCUAAAUACUCCUGACUGACCGAUAGUGAACCAGUACCGUGAGGGAAAGGCGAAAAGAACCCCGGCGAGGGGAGUGAAAAAGAACCUGAAACCGUGUACGUACAAGCAGUGGGAGCACGCUUAGGCGUGUGACUGCGUACCUUUUGUAUAAUGGGUCAGCGACUUAUAUUCUGUAGCAAGGUUAACCGAAUAGGGGAGCCGAAGGGAAACCGAGUCUUAACUGGGCGUUAAGUUGCAGGGUAUAGACCCGAAACCCGGUGAUCUAGCCAUGGGCAGGUUGAAGGUUGGGUAACACUAACUGGAGGACCGAACCGACUAAUGUUGAAAAAUUAGCGGAUGACUUGUGGCUGGGGGUGAAAGGCCAAUCAAACCGGGAGAUAGCUGGUUCUCCCCGAAAGCUAUUUAGGUAGCGCCUCGUGAAUUCAUCUCCGGGGGUAGAGCACUGUUUCGGCAAGGGGGUCAUCCCGACUUACCAACCCGAUGCAAACUGCGAAUACCGGAGAAUGUUAUCACGGGAGACACACGGCGGGUGCUAACGUCCGUCGUGAAGAGGGAAACAACCCAGACCGCCAGCUAAGGUCCCAAAGUCAUGGUUAAGUGGGAAACGAUGUGGGAAGGCCCAGACAGCCAGGAUGUUGGCUUAGAAGCAGCCAUCAUUUAAAGAAAGCGUAAUAGCUCACUGGUCGAGUCGGCCUGCGCGGAAGAUGUAACGGGGCUAAACCAUGCACCGAAGCUGCGGCAGCGACGCUUAUGCGUUGUUGGGUAGGGGAGCGUUCUGUAAGCCUGCGAAGGUGUGCUGUGAGGCAUGCUGGAGGUAUCAGAAGUGCGAAUGCUGACAUAAGUAACGAUAAAGCGGGUGAAAAGCCCGCUCGCCGGAAGACCAAGGGUUCCUGUCCAACGUUAAUCGGGGCAGGGUGAGUCGACCCCUAAGGCGAGGCCGAAAGGCGUAGUCGAUGGGAAACAGGUUAAUAUUCCUGUACUUGGUGUUACUGCGAAGGGGGGACGGAGAAGGCUAUGUUGGCCGGGCGACGGUUGUCCCGGUUUAAGCGUGUAGGCUGGUUUUCCAGGCAAAUCCGGAAAAUCAAGGCUGAGGCGUGAUGACGAGGCACUACGGUGCUGAAGCAACAAAUGCCCUGCUUCCAGGAAAAGCCUCUAAGCAUCAGGUAACAUCAAAUCGUACCCCAAACCGACACAGGUGGUCAGGUAGAGAAUACCAAGGCGCUUGAGAGAACUCGGGUGAAGGAACUAGGCAAAAUGGUGCCGUAACUUCGGGAGAAGGCACGCUGAUAUGUAGGUGAAGUCCCUCGCGGAUGGAGCUGAAAUCAGUCGAAGAUACCAGCUGGCUGCAACUGUUUAUUAAAAACACAGCACUGUGCAAACACGAAAGUGGACGUAUACGGUGUGACGCCUGCCCGGUGCCGGAAGGUUAAUUGAUGGGGUCAGCGCAAGCGAAGCUCUUGAUCGAAGCCCCGGUAAACGGCGGCCGUAACUAUAACGGUCCUAAGGUAGCGAAAUUCCUUGUCGGGUAAGUUCCGACCUGCACGAAUGGCGUAAUGAUGGCCAGGCUGUCUCCACCCGAGACUCAGUGAAAUUGAACUCGCUGUGAAGAUGCAGUGUACCCGCGGCAAGACGGAAAGACCCCGUGAACCUUUACUAUAGCUUGACACUGAACAUUGAGCCUUGAUGUGUAGGAUAGGUGGGAGGCUUUGAAGUGUGGACGCCAGUCUGCAUGGAGCCGACCUUGAAAUACCACCCUUUAAUGUUUGAUGUUCUAACGUUGACCCGU
rnacentral:rRNA from 1 species